rnacentral:rRNA from 1 species
UAGGGAAUUUUCCACAAUGGGCGAAAGCCUGAUGGAGCAACGCCGCGUGCAGGAUGAAUGCCUUCGGGUUGUAAACUGCUUUUCUGUGUGAAGAAUAUGACGGUAACACAGGAAUAAGGGUCGGCUAACUACGUGCCAGCAGCCGCGGUCAUACGUAGGACCCAAGCGUUAUCCGGAAUUACUGGGCGUAAAGAGUUGCGUAGGUGGCAUAGUAAGUGGAGCGUGAAAGCGUGCGGCUCAACCGCAUAUCCGCGUUCCAAACUACUAAGCUUGAGUAUAAGAGAGGUAGAUGGAAUUUCUAGUGUAGGAGUGAAAUCCGUAGAUAUUAGAAGGAACACCGAUGGCGUAGGCAGUCUACUGGCUUAUUACUGACACUAAGGCACGAAAGCGUGGGGAGCGA